AUGCAAUAUGGACGUAUCAGGCGGCUGCUCAACAGAACGGGAUGGUUGAUUUAUGCCAAUUCAGUGGUCACGGCUACGGCCACAUAUUUUUUGACAUCCUUUCCACCGGACAAAUGGCUGAUUAAGAAGGUGGACAAGCUCAGACAGAACUUCCUUUGGGAGGCGGAUGACACGACGAUUGGCGGGAAGACUCAGGUAAACUGGAAGCACGUUUGCUCUCCAAAGAGGUAUGGAGGAUUGGGCAUAAAAAAUAUCGAAUGUUUCAGCCAAGCAUUGAGAUUGCACUGGGAAUCGUACAUAUGGGAGGAUGGAGAUAGGACGUGGAAAGGGACUGCUACGCCAUGCGAUGACACUUAUAAACAACUGUUCUCCAGUUGCACAACGAUCUCAUUGGGCGAUGGAAGUAUGGCAAGCUUCUGGAUGGAUAGGUGGCUGAGUGGCGAAGCACCAAUGGUUUUGGCACCUGCGGUUUUCAAGUUGGCCCGUUCUAAAAAAGUAUCGGUCAAAGAAGGAACUAAUGGUAAAUGGAUGCAAGGGCUUAACCGGAUGAACAAUGCCGAGCAGCUGACUCGGUUUGCAGAGCUUUGGAAUAGGGUGCAAAUGAUAACUUUGUCGCAGGAGAAGGACACGAUUGUUUGGAACCUUACAGCCAACGGUGUAUAUUCGGCCUGCUCGGCCUAUGAGGCUCAGUUUGGUAGGAUCGAGAAGCCACGGUUGGCUAGAGUGUGGAGGAGCAAGAUGGAGGGGAAAGUGAGGUUUUUCUUAUGGUUAAUGCUUCAGAACAAAAAUUGGACUGCCGACCGCUUGCAGGCAAGAGGCUGCCCACAUAAUGAUCUCUACAAGCUAUGUGACCAAGAGCCUGAAACUACGAAUCACCUUGCUCUGCAUUGCUCACUUUCCAAGGAGAUUUGGUUUCAGUUCGGAUAG
rnacentral:rRNA from 1 species